rnacentral:rRNA from 1 species
CUGCUAAGACUGGAUAGGAGACAAGAAGGCAUCUUCUUGUUUUUAAAAGACCUAGCAAUAGGUAUGUUUAGGGAGGAGCUUGCGUCACAUUAGUUAGUUGGUGGGGUAAAGGCCUACCAAGACUAUGAUGUGUAGCUGGGCUGAGAGGUUGAACGGCCACAUUGGGACUGAGACAUGGCCCAAACUCCUACGGGAGGCAGCAGUAGGGAAUUUUCGGCAAUGGAGGAAACUCUGACCGAGCAACGCCGCGUGAACGAUGAAGUAUUUCGGUACGUAAAGUUCUUUUAUUAGGGAAGAAUAAAUGAUGGAAAAAUCAUUCUGACAGUACCUAAUGAAUAAGCCCCGGCUAACUAUGUGCCAGCAGCCGCGGUAAUACAUAGGGGGCAAGCGUUAUCCGGAAUUAUUGGGCGUAAAGGGUGCGUAGGCGGUUAAAUAAGUUUAUGGUCUAAGUGCAAUGCUCAACAUUGUGAUGCUAUAAAAACUGUUUAGCUAGAGUAAGAUAGAGGCAAGUGGAAUUUCGUGUGUAGUGGUAAAAUGCGUAAAUAUAUGGAGGAACACCAGUAGCGAAGGCGGCUUGCUGGGUCUUUACUGACGCUGAGGCACGAAAGCGUGGGGAGCAAACAGGAUUAGAUACCCUGGUAGUCCACGCCGUAAACGAUGAGUACUAAACGUGGGUAAAACCAGUGUUGAAGUUAACACAUUAAGUACUCCGCCUGAGUAGUACGUACGCAAGUAUGAAACUUAAAGGAAUUGACGGGACUCCGCACAAGCGGUGGAUCAUGUUGUUUAAUUCGAAGGUACCCGAAAAACCUCACCAGGUCUUGACAUGCUUCUGCAAAGCUGUAGAAACACAGUGGAGGUUAUCAGUUGCACAGGUGGUGCAUGGUUGUCGUCAGCUCGUGUCGUGAGAUGUUGGGUUAAGUCCCGCAACGAGCGCAACCCUUAUUGUUAGUUACCAGCACGUAAUGGUGGGGACUUUAGCAAGACUGCCAGUGAUAAAUUGGAGGAAGGUGGGGACGACGUCAAAUCAUCAUGCCCCUUAUGACCUGGGCUACAAACGUGAUACAAUGGCUGUUACAAAGGGUAGCUGAAGCGCAAGUUUUUGGCGAAUCUCAAAAAAACAGUCUCAGUUCGGAUUGAAGUCUGCAACUCGACUUCAUGAAGUUGGAAUCGCUAGUAAUCGCGAAUCAGCAUGUCGCGGUGAAUACGUUCUCGGGGUUUGUACACACCGCCCGUCAA